AGAGUUUGAUCCUGGCUCAGAUUGAACGCUGGCGGCAUGCUUUACACAUGCAAGUCGAACGGCAGCACGGGGGCAACCCUGGUGGCGAGUGGCGAACGGGUGAGGAAUGCACCGGAACGUAUCUUCAAGUGGGGGACAACGCAUCGAAAGGUGUGCUAAUACCGCAUAAUCUCUGAGGAGAAAAGCAGGGGAUCGCAAGACCUUGCGCUUUUGGAGCGGCCGAUGCCUGAUUAGCUUGUUGGUGAGGUAAAAGCUCACCAAGGCUCCGAUCAGUAGCUGGUCUGAGAGGACGACCAGCCACACUGGGACUGAGACACGGCCCAGACUCCUACGGGAGGCAGCAGUGGGGAAUUUUGGACAAUGGGGGCAACCCUGAUCCAGCCAUGCCGCGUGAGUGAAGAAGGCCUUCGGGUUGUAAAGCUCUUUCAGCCGGAACGAAACGGUCACGGUUAAUACCCGUGACUACUGACGGUACCGGAAGAAGAAGCACCGGCUAACUACGUGCCAGCAGCCGCGGUAAUACGUAGGGUGCGAGCGUUAAUCGGAAUUACUGGGCGUAAAGCGUGCGCAGGCGGUUUUGUAAGUCAGAUGUGAAAUCCCCGGGCUUAACCUGGGAACUGCGUUUGAAACUGCAAGGCUAGAGUGUGGCAGA
rnacentral:rRNA from 1 species